CAAGUCGAGCGAAUGAGAAGAGCUUGCUCUUCGAUUCAGCGGCGGACGGGUGAGUAAUGCCUAGGAAUCUGCCUGGUAGUGGGGGACAACGUUUCGAAAGGAACGCUAAUACCGCAUACGUCCUACGGGAGAAAGCAGGGGACCUUCGGGCCUUGCGCUAUCAGAUGAGCCUAGGUCGGAUUAGCUAGUUGGUGAGGUAAUGGCUCACCAAGGCGACGAUCCGUAACUGGUCUGAGAGGAUGAUCAGUCACACUGGAACUGAGACACGGUCCAGACUCCUACGGGAGGCAGCAGUGGGGAAUAUUGGACAAUGGGCGAAAGCCUGAUCCAGCCAUGCCGCGUGUGUGGAGAAGGUCUUCGGAUUGUAAAGCACUUUAAGUUGGGAGGAAGGGCAUUAACCUAAUACGUUAGUGUUUUGACGUUACCGACAGAAUAAGCACCGGCUAACUCUGUGCCAGCAGCCGCGGUAAUACAGAGGGUGCAAGCGUUAAUCGGAAUUACUGGGCGUAAAGCGCGCGUAGGUGGUUUGUUAAGUUGGAUGUGAAAGCCCCGGGCUCAACCUGGGAACUGCAUCCAAAACUGGCAAGCUAGAGUACGGUAGAGGGUGGUGGAAUUUCCUGUGUAGCGGUGAAAUGCGUAGAUAUAGGAAGGAACACCAGUGGCGAAGGCGACCACCUGGACUGAUACUGACACUGAGGUGCGAAAGCGUGGGGAGCAAACAGGAUU
rnacentral:rRNA from 1 species